UAGGGAAUCUUCCACAAUGGACGCAAGUCUGAUGGAGCAACGCCGCGUGAGUGAAGAAGGUUUUCGGACCGUAAAGCUCUGUUGUUGGUGAAGAAGGAUAGAGGUAGUAACUGGCCCUUUAUUUGACGGUAAUCAACCAGAAAGUCACGGCUAACUACGUGCCAGCAGCCGCGGUAAUACGUAGGUGGCAAGCGUUGUCCGGAUUUAUUGGGCGUAAAGCGAGCGCAGGCGGAAGAAUAAGUCUGAUGUGAAAGCCCUCGGCUUAACCGAGGAAUUGCAUCGGAAACUGUUU
rnacentral:rRNA from 1 species